AGAGCGGUUUGGUCGUUCGUUGGUGGAGUAUCUGCCCGUUCUGCUCGCCGAUUGCGGCUCUUGUUCGAGCGCUUCCAGCGUCGCCUCGGUCUCAGCAAGGGCCCCAGACUCGGCUUUGGGUGAGUUCGCGGCUCUGCCGGCGGCCGGAGCCUCCCUGGCUUUUAGGACCGCGGUCGCUGGCAGCCGACGGUCUGGUCGGUGAGGCAGCCCGGGAGGUCGAGUUCGGUCGCGUUCCGCCACCUCCGUCCUGUCUGCUUCCCGGUGGUGACUCACAGGUCCCGCCGCGGUGUUUCCGGCCGCCCGUGGAGCGGGAAGUUGCUCCUCCCCGCGCUCCCCCUCCCGGGGGAGGCCGCAGCCCGGCGCAGCCUGAGUCAUUAGGGGAGGGGGAGGAGGCGGCGGCCGCCAUCUGCUGCGGCGAGGAGGGGCGCCUGGCAGCCGGAGCCCGGUGACCUGGCCUUGAACGUCGCUUGUCUCGCAGGUGAAAAAAAAUGGCCCGAACCAAGCAGACCGCUAGGAAGUCCACCGGUGGGAAAGCCCCCCGCAAACAGCUGGCCACCAAGGCGGCUCGGAAAAGCGCGCCCUCUACCGGCGGGGUGAAGAAGCCUCACCGCUACAGGUAGGCAGAGGGCUGGGAACAAUGACUUGGCCGCCGGCUUGCGGGCGGGCGCUCUCUCCCUUCUCCCUGACCGUUGACGCCUUCCUUCUUCUGGUGACUGCAGGCCAGGGACCGUGGCUCUGAGAGAGAUCCGUCGUUACCAGAAAUCGACUGAGCUGCUCAUCCGGAAGCUGCCAUUCCAGAGAUUGGUGAGGGAGAUCGCCCAGGAUUUCAAAACCGACUUGAGGUUUCAAAGUGCAGCCAUCGGUGCCCUUCAGGUAAAGGGACAAAAGGCUUGGUGGCACUCGGGGCGGCGGCUUGAUUGCUCCAGUAGGAGUGUUAAUGCUGUUGCUCUUGUCCUCAACAGGAGGCUAGCGAAGCAUACCUGGUGGGGUUGUUUGAAGAUACCAAUCUGUGUGCCAUCCACGCCAAGAGAGUCACCAUCAUGCCCAAAGACAUCCAGUUGGCUCGCCGGAUACGGGGGGAGAGAGCUUAAGUUGAAGCGGUUUUUAUGGCAUUUUGUAGUAAAUUCUGUAAAAUACUUUGGUUUAAUUUGUGACUUUUUUUGUAAGAAAUUGUUUAUAAUAUGUUGCAUUUGUACUUAAGUCAUUCCAUCUUUCACUCAGGAUGAAUGGGAAGAGUGACUGACUGUUCACAGACCUCAGUGAUGUGAGCACUGUGGCUCAGGAGUGACAAGUUGCUAAUACGCAGAAGGGAUGGGUGAUACUUCUUGCUUUUCAUGAUGCAUGUUUCUGUAUGUUAAUGACUUGUUGGGUAGCUAUUAAGGUACUAGAAUUGAUAAAUGUGUACAGGGUCCUUUUGCAAUAAAACUGGUUAUGACUUGAUCCAAGUGUUUAACCAUACAUCACUGUGAUAGAAUGUGGGCUUUUUCAAAGGUUGAAGAUACAAGUUUUAGCCACAGUGUAACAGUUUCCUUUAAAAAAAAAAAAGUAAACCUGGCAGCUAUAGAAUACACUAUGUGCAUUUAUAAUAGCUAUUUUAUAUAUUGUAGUGUUCAACAUUUUUAAAUUAAAUGUUUUACAUUCACAAGUGGUGGGGAGUCUUGUCAUUAAGGUGUGUGUAAUUUAGUCCAGUUGGUAUUUCCUGACUAGACUGCAUUUGUUUUUAACAGUAGAAAAAUGCUAUGCGUAUUAAACCUUGCAUAAGUCCUCAUUCUACCACAUGUUCACUAACCCCUGACCCUCUGGCUGGUAACACAACACUAACGGGGAUUUUAUUUAUAAGGGCUCUAGAGUAAAAUAACAAGCUAUUCACACCAGCAUCAUCUAUUACUAAUCUAGUUAGUGCAGCUUUUCAUUGUGUUUGGUCUUAGGCCUAGAUUGAGUUCGGUUUCGUUUCUUUUUAAUCUUUAAGGGGGAAAACUGUACAAGGUUUGUUUUUCCUUGUAGAGUUUAUAAACAUGGGAGUAAGAACACAGCUUCAACUUCUUGGACCUCUGCCAAUGAAGAUGGGUUAGGUUACACCUGGUUACUAUACUGGCAAAAUCCCUUUUAUAGAGAUGGCCUUCAAGUGGUUUUUAAAAGUAUCCUAUUGAAGUUUUUAGGUCAAUUAUGUAUGUUGACUAAAUUUACAAAUAAACUUGUUUAUUCAACUAAGUGUCAAACCUAAAUUGAAUAUACAAAGCUUUUAAUACAUAUGGAAUCGAGAUUCCUAGAUUCAGCUAUUUGCUUGGUAGAAAAGGCUAAAGUACAGAAAGCAUUUGAACAUCCAAUACACUCUAAAAAUGCAAGUAUUUGCUGACACAAUUCAUGAGUCUGACAAAAUCUGCUUGUGGUUCAUGGGUGGGCUUAAUAACUACAAUACAUGUUUGUUCCCAUGGUUUUAGAAUAUUUGAAAUUUUAAGUUUGCUGUUUUGGAUCUUUCUAAUAGGCCUUACAAAUAAACUAGUAAGUUUGGAGUUUUUUUCCUGGGGAAACAGUUUCUCUGUAGCCUUGGCCACAACUCCCACUGUAGAGCAGCAGGUUGGCUUCAAACUCAAGAUCCAUCUGCCUCUAACCAGUACGGAUUUUUUUCUUUACAUAUAGUUGAAUAAUCGUUGAGCCCCUUCUAACUACGAGUCUUCCUACUUCUCUGUGUAUUUGGCGACUCAUUGAUAAGUCACAUUGCUAAGGAGUGCUAGUGUGCAUAAAUAUAAAAAUGGACCCGAGUCUAUUCAGCAAGGCAUUCUAGUGAAGCUUUAGUAGCUAAAGAAGUGUAAGAGUUUGCAUGUAUCCCAGACUGGCUUACCCUUCUCAGUCUCCUGAGGAGAAGUUACAAGGUGUGUACUGCCACACCUAGAACUUUAGGUCCCUUUGGAUAAGUAUGUACCUCAAUGGACAUGGUAUUAAUUAGAAGGGGCAGUAGCAUAGUCUAGUACAAUGAAAACAGUUCUGACCACAUUGUUUUAUGUUGGGCUGAGUAAAGUCUGAGGCAGCCCUGAGCGACUGGCUUGUUGAGUUGCUACCUAUAGUAACCAAGUCUGUGGCUUGGAGCAUGUUGGUUAUUGGAAAGUCUGAAGGUAACUAAACUGCAACUUAGGCUUAGACAGGGCCUAAGCAUGGUUGUCUUUGGUCCUAGACAGUUGUCCUUGGACUGGGAUCUAAUGAAAGGGAAAGUUGAUGAGUUUUUUUUUUUUGUUUUCUUUUUUUUUUUAACCUCACAAAAUGCUGAGGGAAGCUUUGUUCCUGUGUGUGUAGUAUGGUCUCCCCCG
rnacentral:lncRNA from 1 species